rnacentral:rRNA from 1 species
ACCCGCACAAGCGGUGGAUGAUGUGGUUUAAUUCGAUGCAACGCGAAAAACCUUACCCACCUUUGACAUGUACGGAAUUUGCCAGAGAUGGCUUAGUGCUCGAAAGAGAGCCGUAACACAGGUGCUGCAUGGCUGUCGUCAGCUCGUGUCGUGAGAUGUUGGGUUAAGUCCCGCAACGAGCGCAACCCUUGUCAUUAGUUGCUACGAAAGGGCACUCUAAUGAGACUGCCGGUGACAAACCGGAGGAAGGUGGGGAUGACGUCAAGUCCUCAUGGCCCUUAUAGGUGGGGCUACACACGUCAUACAAUGGCCGGUACAAAGGGUCGCAAACCCGCGAGGGGGAGCUAAUCCAUCAAAGCCGGUCGUAGUCCGGAUCGCAGUCUGCAACUCGACUGCGUGAAGUCGGAAUCGCUAGUAAUCGUGGAUCAGCAUGUCACGGUGAAUACGUUCCCGGGUCUUGUACACACCGCCCGUCACACCAUGGGAGCGGGUCUCGCCAGAAGUAGUUAGCCUAACCGCAAGGAGGGCGAUUACCACGGCGGGGUUCGUGACUGGGGUGAAGUCGUAACAAGGUAGCCGUA